GAGGUCGGCAACGACCACCCAGGGCCGGAAAGCUAUCCAAACUCGGUCAUUUAGAGGAAGUAAAAGUCGUAACAAGGUCUCCGUUGGUGAACCAGCGGAGGGAUCAUUACAGAGUUGCAAAACUCCCAAACCAUCGUGAACGUUACCUACAUCGUUGCUUCGGCGGGUGGCGGGCUUCGGCCCUGCCCUCGGCCCCUCUCGGGGGCCCGCCGGAGGUACACCAAACUCUUGAAUUUACAUGGCCUCUCUGAGUCUUCUGUACUGAAUAAGUCAAAACUUUCAACAACGGAUCUCUUGGUUCUGGCAUCGAUGAAGAACGCAGCGAAAUGCGAUAAGUAAUGUGAAUUGCAGAAUUCAGUGAAUCAUCGAAUCUUUGAACGCACAUUGCGCCCGCCAGUAUUCUGGCGGGCAUGCCUGUCCGAGCGUCAUUUCAACCAUCAAGCCCCCGGCUUGUGUUGGGGACCUGCGGCACACCCGCAGGCCCUGAAAACCAGUGGCGGGCUCGCUGUCCACACCGAGCGUAGUAGCAUAUCUUUGUCUCGCUCAGGGCGUGCGGCGGGUUCCGGCCGUGAAACCCACCUUCUCGAAGGUACCCAAAGGUUGACCUCGGAUCAGGUAGGAAGACCCGCUGAACUUAAGCAUAUCAAUAAGCGGAGGAAAAGAAACCAACAGGGAUUGCCCUAGUAACGGCGAGUGAAGCGGCAACAGCUCAAAUUUG
rnacentral:rRNA from 1 species